rfam:Lactobacillus vini DSM 20605 Scaffold39, whole genome shotgun sequence.
AUAAUGAUACUUCCGCGAGGCUCCCACGUAAGCAGGAGAGGUGAAAUUCCUAUGU